rnacentral:rRNA from 1 species
UACGGAGGGCGCGAGCGUUGUCCGGAUUUAUUGGGCGUAAAGAGCUCGUAGGCGGCUUGUCGCGUCGACCGUGAAAACUCGCAGCUCAACUGCGAGCCUGCGGUCGAUACGGGCAGGCUAGAGUUCGGUAGGGGAGACUGGAAUUCCUGGUGUAGCGGUGAAAUGCGCAGAUAUCAGGAGGAACACCGAUGGCGAAGGCAGGUCUCUGGGCCGAUACUGACGCUGAGGAGCGAAAGCGUGGGGAGCGAACAGG